rfam:Myotis lucifugus cont2.33269, whole genome shotgun sequence.
GGCCAGUUUGCUCAGUGGUUAGAGUGUUAGCCCUCAAAUCUAAGGAUGACAGGUUUGAUUCCUGGUUAAGGGCUU